UUUGGUUAAGUUAGAAAGGGCGCACGGUGGAUGCCUUGACACUAGGAGUCGAUGAAGGACGGGACUAACGCCGAUAUGCUUCGGGGAGCUGUAAGUAAGCUUUGAUCCGAAGAUUUCCGAAUGGGGAAACCCACCAUACGUAAUGGUAUGGUAUCCUUAUCUGAAUACAUAGGGUAAGGAAGACAGACCCAGGGAACUGAAACAUCUAAGUACCUGGAGGAAGAGAAAGCAAAUGCGAUUUCCUGAGUAGCGGCGAGCGAAACGGAACAUAGCCCAAACCAAGAGGCUUGCCUCUUGGGGUUGUAGGACAUUCUAUACGGAGUUACAAAGGAACGAGGUAGACGAAGCGACCUGGAAAGGUCCGUCGUAGAGGGUAACAACCCCGUAGUCGAAACUUCGUUCUCUCUUGAAUGUAUCCUGAGUACGGCGGAACACGUGAAAUUCCGUCGGAAUCUGGGAGGACCAUCUCCCAAGGCUAAAUACUCCCUAGUGAUCGAUAGUGAACCAGUACCGUGAGGGAAAGGUGAAAAGCACCCCGGAAGGGGAGUGAAAGAGAUCCUGAAACCGUGUGCCUACAAAUAGUCAGAGCCCGUUAACGGGUGAUGGCGUGCCUUUGUAGAAUGAACCGGCGAGUUACGAUCCCGUGCGAGGUUAAGCUGAAGAGGCGGAGCCGCAGCGAAAGCGAGUCUGAAUAGGGCGUUUAGUACGUGGUCGUAGACCCGAAACCAGGUGAUCUACCCAUGUCCAGGGUGAAGUUCAGGUAACACUGAAUGGAGGCCCGAACCCACGCACGUUGAAAAGUGCGGGGAUGAGGUGUGGGUAGCGGAGAAAUUCCAAUCGAACCUGGAGAUAGCUGGUUCUCCCCGAAAUAGCUUUAGGGCUAGCCUUAAGUGUAAGAGUCUUGGAGGUAGAGCACUGAUUGGACUAGGGGUCCUCAUCGGAUUACCGAAUUCAGUCAAACUCCGAAUGCCAAUGACUUAUCCUUAGGAGUCAGACUGCGAGUGAUAAGAUCCGUAGUCAAAAGGGAAACAGCCCAGACCGCCAGCUAAGGUCCCAAAGUGUGUAUUAAGUGGAAAAGGAUGUGGAGUUGCUUAGACAACUAGGAUGUUGGCUUAGAAGCAGCCACCAUUUAAAGAGUGCGUAAUAGCUCACUAGUCGAGUGACUCUGCGCCGAAAAUGUACCGGGGCUAAAUACACCACCGAAGCUGCGGAUUGAUACCAAUGGUAUCAGUGGUAGGGGAGCGUUCUAAGGACAGUGAAGUCAGACCGGAAGGACUGGUGGAGUGCUUAGAAGUGAGAAUGCCGGUAUGAGUAGCGAAAGACGGGUGAGAAUCCCGUCCACCGAAUGCCUAAGGUUUCCUGAGGAAGGCUCGUCCGCUCAGGGUUAGUCAGGACCUAAGCCGAGGCCGACAGGCGUAGGCGAUGGACAACAGGUUGAUAUUCCUGUACCACCUCUUUAUCGUUUGAGCAAUGGAGGGACGCAGAAGGAUAGAAGAAGCGUGCGAUUGGUUGUGCACGUCCAAGCAGUUAGGCUGAUAAGUAGGCAAAUCCGCUUAUCGUAAAGGCUGAGCUGUGAUGGGGAAGCUCCUUAUGGAGCGAAGUCUUUGAUUCCCCGCUGCCAAGAAAAGCUUCUAGCGAGAUAAAAGGUGCCUGUACCGCAAACCGACACAGGUAGGCGAGGAGAGAAUCCUAAGGUGUGCGAGAGAACUCUGGUUAAGGAACUCGGCAAAAUGACCCCGUAACUUCGGGAGAAGGGGUGCUUUCUUAACGGAAAGCCGCAGUGAAUAGGCCCAAGCGACUGUUUAGCAAAAACACAGCUCUCUGCGAAGCCGUAAGGCGAAGUAUAGGGGGUGACACCUGCCCGGUGCUGGAAGGUUAAGGAGAGGGGUUAGCGUAAGCGAAGCUCUGAACUGAAGCCCCAGUAAACGGCGGCCGUAACUAUAACGGUCCUAAGGUAGCGAAAUUCCUUGUCGGGUAAGUUCCGACCCGCACGAAAGGUGUAACGAUUUGGGCACUGUCUCAACCAGAGACUCGGUGAAAUUAUAGUACCUGUGAAGAUGCAGGUUACCCGCGACAGGACGGAAAGACCCCGUGGAGCUUUACUGUAGCCUGAUAUUGAAUUUUGGUACAGUUUGUACAGGAUAGGCGGGAGCCAUUGAAACCGGAGCGCUAGCUUCGGUGGAGGCGCUGGUGGGAUACCGCCCUGACUGUAUUGAAAUUCUAACCUACGGGUCUUAUCGACCCGGGAGACAGUGUCAGGUGGGCAGUUUGACUGGGGCGGUCGCCUCCUAAAGUGUAACGGAGGCGCCCAAAGGUUCCCCUCAGAAUGGUUGGAAAUCAUUCGUAGAGUGCAAAGGCAUAAGGGAGCUUGACUGCGAGACCUACAAGUCGAGCAGGGACGAAAGUCGGGCUUAGUGAUCCGGUGGUUCCGCAUGGAAGGGCCAUCGCUCAACGGAUAAAAGCUACCCCGGGGAUAACAGGCUUAUCUCCCCAAGAGUCCACAUCGACGGGGAGGUUUGGCACCUCGAUGUCGGCUCAUCGCAUCCUGGGGCUGUAGUCGGUCCCAAGGGUUGGGCUGUUCGCCCAUUAAAGCGGUACGCGAGCUGGGUUCAGAACGUCGUGAGACAGUUCGGUCCCUAUCCGUCGUGGGCGUAGGAAAUUUGAGAGGAGCUGUCCUUAGUACGAGAGGACCGGGAUGGACGCACCGCUGGUGUACCAGUUGUUCUGCCAAGGGCAUAGCUGGGUAGCUAUGUGCGGAAGGGAUAAGUGCUGAAAGCAUCUAAGCAUGAAGCCCCCUCAAGAUGAGAUUUCCCAUAGCGUAAGCUAGUAAGAUCCCUGAAAGAUGAUCAGGUUGAUAGGUUCGAGGUGGAAGCAUGGUGACAUGUGGAGCUGACGAAUACUAAUAGAUCGAGGACUUAACCAUAUAA
rnacentral:rRNA from 1 species